rnacentral:lncRNA from 1 species
GAUGAUAUGUUAGUCGAAAAUAGUGCGAUUGUGCCUGAGGUGGAUAUGAAAUUUAAGGAUGAAAAUGAAAUUUUCAAGUUUUACAAAAGAUAUGCAUACGACAUUUAUUCCCAGUUAGAAAAAGAAAUUCAAAAAAUGAUGAUGAUGGAAUAUUGAGAUAUAUUACAUUUGUUUAUAGUCGUGAAGGGAAAAGAAUCCAAAAUACGAGCGGUUCUUUCAAGCCAUAAACAACAAUUUAGAGUAGAUGUAAAGCCAGGAUAACUGGAUGUUCAGAUAUUUCUGGUGUAUGGAGAAUUAACAUAGUAAACCUCGACCACAAUCAUAAAACAAGCCCUUCGAAGUCCAGCCUAUAUAGAUGUAAUCGAGAAUUGAGUGCACAUGUGAAACAACGACUUGAAGUAAAUGACUUGGCUGGAAUUCCAUUGCACAAAAGUUACAACUCUACAGUUGUUGAAGCAGGUGGAUAUAAGAAUAUGACUUGCAUAGAAAAAGAUUGUCAAAACUAUGUUGAAAAGGUUAGACGAUUAAGAUAGGGAGAAGGAGACGCAGAAGCGAUACAAUCAUACUUUUCUAAAAUGCAAGCACGGUGCUCGGGCUUUUACUUUAGUAUAGAUUUGGAUGAAGAGUUGCGGUUAAAAAAUGUGUUUUGGACAGAUAACAGGAGUAG